ACCCACUCUUGAGUUCCUCAGGACAGCUAGUCAGCGAUAAGGGCAGGUCUAUGUCAGUUCAGACAGAGUCUCUGUGAAUUCAAGCGAGGACUUUGUGAGGUCAGAGGGCAUCUUGUAAGGUCAGGGAAGGACUCUGUGAGGUCAGGGGAGGUAUCUGUGAGGCCAGGGGCACUCUCCCUGAGUUCAUGGGGGGUCUCUAUGAGGUAAGUGGGUGUCUCUGUGAGGUAAGGGCAGGUCUCUGUGAGGUCAGAUUGGGUCUCUGUGAGGUCAGAGGGGUUGCCUCUGACGUCAUGGGAGGUCCAUGUGGCCAGGGGAGGUCUCUGUGAGGUCUGAUUGGGUCUGUCUGAAGUCAGGGGAGGCCUCUGUGAGGUCAGAGAGGGUACUUGGGAGGUCAGGGGUGGUCUCUGUGAGGACAGAUAUUGUCUCUGUGUGAUCAUGGGCAGUCUCUCAUUUCAGGGGAGGUCUCCGUGUGGUCAUACAGGUCUCUGAGUUCAGGGUCAUUUCUGUGGGGUCAGAGUUCUGUAGGGGAGGAAGACAUUUCUUCUACCCACUCUGGGUCCUUCUGGCCAGACAACGAAUUAAAUUCACAUGAGACAGAAUAACAGGAGAAAAUUAAACAAAGCUUUAUAACAGUAUACAUGGGAGAGACCCAGAAAAACUGAGUAACUCGCCAAAAUGGCUGAAGCCACCACCUUAAAUACUGUCUUCAGUUAAAGACAAAGGAGGAUGUUGGGGGUGGGGGGAGUCAGUUAUGGGAGAUUACCAGAAAAGCACAGUAAACAAGAGUAAGUUUAUAUGCAGGUUUAAGUCCUUGCCUUCUGCAUUGAUAAGAGUUUCUAGAGAUAAUGUCAUUCCCCCUUCUUCCUGGUACAGAGAGGGAGACACCUUUACAGAUGGGUAAGUAAAUUCUACUUUUCAGAGUUUCUUUCAUGUCUGCAGUUUUUAAAAGUAACCAGCCCAAAAUAAUCCUCAUGCCAAAGAGGCAUAUCUUGGUGUGGCCAAUUCCAGUCCCCCACAGUUCUCUGUGUCUUCAAGGGAGAUUCUGUGAGGUCAGGGAGCUCUCUGAGAUCAGGGGAGGUCUCUGAGUUCAAGGGAGGCCUCUGUGAGGUGAUGUGAGGUCUCUGAGGUCAGCAGAGGCCUGUGUGUUGUCAGAGGAGUUCUCCGUGAGGUCAGAGGAGGUAUCUAUGAUAUAAGGGGAGGUUUCUGUGAGGUCAGGGUAGGUCUCUGUGAUGUAAGGGGAUGUCUCUCUGAGGUCAGGGAGGUCUCUUGAUGUCAGCUGUGGCUUCUGUGAGGUCAGCGAGUACUCUUUGGGGUCAGAGGUGGUCUCUGUGGGGUCAUGGGAGGUCUCUGUGUUUCAGAAGGUGUCUUUGUGACGGCAAGGGAGGUAUCUGUGACAUCAGAGUGGGUAUCUUCGAGGCCAGGGGAGGUGUCAAUGAGGUGAGAGGGGCUUUGUGUGAGUCAGGGGGAGGUUUCUUUGUGGUCAGAGGGUGUGUCUGUGAAGUCAAGUAAGGUCUCUGUGAGGCCAGGAGAGGUCUCUGUGAAGUCAGGGACAUCUCUGUGAGGUCAGAGGGGCUGUCUCUCAGGUAAGGGGAGGUCUGUGAGGAAAGGGAGGUGUCUGUGAUGUCAGGCAAGGUCUCUGUGAGAGAGGGAGGUCUAUCUGAUGUCUGGGGAGGUUUCUGUGAGGUCAGGGAAUGUCUCAGAUGGCAGAGAGGUCUCUGUGAGAUCAGGAGAGACCUCUGUGAUUUCAAGGAGGUCUCUGUGAAGUCAGAGGUCUCUGUGAGAUUAGAUAUUGUGACUGUGAGGUCAGAGAGCAUUUUGUGAUGUCAGGAGAGGUCUCUGUGAAGUCAGACAAGGUUCCGUGCGGUAAGGUCAGCCAUCUGUGAGGUCAUGGGAGGUCUCUGAGAUCAAGGAGAUCUCUGAGUUCAGGCAGGCCUCUGUGAGUUCAGGGUAGGUCUAUGUGAUGUCAGGGGAGGUCUCUCUGAGGUAAAAGUUGGUCUCUAUAGGUCAGAGAAGGUCUCUGUGAGGUCAGAAGAGUGUCUUUCUGAGGUCAGGGAGGUCCUUGAGGACAGGGAGGUGUCUGUGAUGUCAGGAAAGGUCUCUGUGAGAGAGGGGAGGU
rnacentral:lncRNA from 1 species